rnacentral:lncRNA from 1 species
UUUUUUUUUUUUUUUUUUGCUUUUUUUGGACACACCCCAGCAUAUGCAAGUUCCCAGGCUAGCGGUCAACCUGGAGCUGCAACUGCCAGCCUACACCACAGCCACGGCAGUGCGGGAUCUGAGCCUUGUCUGUGACCUACACCACAGCUCAGGGCAACGCCGGAUCCUUUAACCCACUGAGAGAGACCAGGGGUCAGACCCGAGUCCUCAUGGAUGCUGGUCAGAUUCAUUAUCGCUGAGCCACAAGGGGAACUCCCAAAACGUGGUCCUCUUAAUGAAACACGUUUACUGACUUGUUAGAGAAACAAACAUUGUUCAGUGACUGAGGUCACGGCACAGAGAUGUCAGACCGCCCCAAACUGAAACACACAGUUAAGGCAUUUUCUCAUCUACAGAAAGCUUUUUUCCUGUACACUUCAGAUCAUUCUAAAAUCAAUGUGGAAAGAAAAAAGAAACAGAAGGAUGAGAGUAUCUGAAAAAUACUCAAGUGGCUGGAAUCACUCCACAUCAUCUCAAGAUUCCUAAAGUAGUAACAGCCACUCUUUGGUAUUGGUGGAGUGACAGACAUUGAGACCAAUGGAACAGAAUGGAGAAAAAAAAUUAGCUAAUCACAGUACCACUGACCCUUGAAUAACAAGUUUAAGGUCUGCAGGUUCAGUAUAUAUGCUUUUUUUCCCCCCAAUAAAUACUAGUGUAGUCUUAUAGGAUCUGAGCCUGACUGAGUCUGUGGAUGCAAAACCCUGGGUACAGAGAGUCAGCUAUAAAGUUAUACAUGGAUUUUUCUCUGCUUGGGGUGGUCACUGCCCUAGCCCUCUGCAUUGUUUAAGGGUUAACUGUGCUUCCAGCUGAUUUCUGACUAAGCUACUAAGGUAAUUUAAUGAAGGCAGGAUUUUCAAAAAAUGGUGCUACAUCAAUGGAAUAUUCAUAGUAGGGGGAAAAAAGGAAUCUCCACCUAAAUUUCACAUCUAUACACAUAUUUUCUCAAAGCCUGAAAUGUGAAAGUAUAAAACUCUGCAAGACAAGAGACACACAGACGAAAAGUCAGGAUCUAGGACUUGGGGAAGAAUUCUUAGACGUGGCACCAGAAACACAAUUCAUAAGAGAGAAAAAAAAAAAAAAAAAGGGUAAACUGGACAUGAGAAAACCUAAAGUUUUGGUCUGUGAAAAGCCGUGCUAACAUUUUUUUUUCUUAAGGAAUUCCAACUGUGGCGCAGUGGAAAUGAAUCUGACCAGCAUCCGUGAGGAUGAGCUGCAAUCCCUGGCCUCGCUCAUGGGUUAAGGAUCCGGUAUUGCUGUGAGCUGGGAUGUAGGUUGUACACAUGACUGGGAUCCCGUGUUGCUGUGGUGUAGGCCGGUGGCUACAGCUCCCAUUCGACCCCUAGCCUGGGAACCUCCGUAGGCAGCGGGAGCGGCCCCAGAAAUGGCAAAAAGACAAAAAAAAAAAAAAAAGGAAAAACUAGUCCAGUGGCAAAGUCACGGUAGGAGGAAUAAUUCCUGAGAAAUGGACUCAGUGUGCAGAGAUUCGCUAGCGGCCCUAAAUACCACCAUAAUUCCAGACAGCUGCUGAUACGCUUAAUGUCAUCUGCACUGGUGGUGGUGGCUGUUUUAUCUGUGUAGCAUUUAAUUUGAUAUUAUGGUUUAUCUAAGGUUUUAACUCUAAUAUGCCCAAGAUAAAAACAGCUUGUGACACUACUUGCUUAAUAAAGAGAGUGGUUGUUUUAAAACCUGCACGCGGGAGUUCCUGCUGAGGCGCAAUGGGAUCAGCAGUCCUGAGAGCACUGGGACACAGGUUUGAUCCCAGCCUGGCACAGUGGGUUGGGGAUCUGGUGUCGCCGCACCUGUGGCUUAGGUUGUGACUGUGGCUCGGAUCUGAUCCCUGGGUGAGGAACUCCAUAUGCCACAGGGAAGCCAAAAAAAAAAAAACAAACAAACAAACAAAAAAGACAUCUUACUAAUAUAUUAAUUGCAUAUCACACUUUAAAAAGACAAAUUUGGGAACCACGAGGUUCUCGUGGUGGCUUAGUGUUAACAAACCCAACUAGUAUCCAUAACACAGGUUUGAUCCCUGGCCUCGCUCAGUGGGUUAAGGAUCUGGUGUUGCUGUGGCUGUGGUGCAGGCUAGCAUCUACAGCUCCGAUUAGACCCCUAUGCUGCAGAUGUGGCCCUAAAGAGCAAAAAGAAAAAACCAUACAAAAUCCAUGAGAUGCAGCAACGGCAGUCCUAAGAGGGAAAGAGGGAAGUUCAUAGUAAGAGCAGCUAUUCUCAAAAAGAAGGAAAAUCUCGAAUAAUCUAAUCACCAUCUCAAAGAAUUAGAAAAAGAAUAAACAAAGCGUAAAGUCGGCAGAAGGAAAGAAAGAAUAAAUAUCAGAGAGGAAAUAUAAUAUAGAGAUUAAUAAAAGGAAAAAAUCUUUAAGGCCAACAGCUAGUUUUCUGAACAAACAAAACUGACAAACUUCUGGCUGGGCUCACAAAGAACAAAAGAGAGAUAAUAAUAAAUAAGAGAUAAAAAUAGAAAAAAAUCAUAAGGCAAUACUGUUAACAGUUAUAAACCAACAAAAUGGACAAUCUAUGAGGAAUAUACAAGUUUCUAGAAACAUACAGCCUCCCAAAGCUGAAUCAAAAAGAAACAGAUAAUCUGAACAGAGUUAACUCUAAAAGUGAAAUAGACUCAGGAACAUUAAAACUCCCUAAAAACAAAGUCCAGGCCCAGAUGGUUCACUGGGGAAUUCUACCAAACAUACGAAGAACAACUUAUACUUACCUUUUUUAAAAACUCUCCCAAAAGACUGAAAAGGAGGGAACACUGCCAAAGUCAUUCUACAAAGCCACGAUCACCGUUACACCCAAACCAAAGAUACUACCAAAACCCAAAAUUUUAGUCCAGUAUCUUUGAUGAAUAUAUACACUCAACAUAUUCAGAUCAAAGUGAUAUGCCACACCAACAAAAGACAAAAACCACAUGAUUAUCUCAAUAGAUGCAGAAAAAGCAUUUGAUAAAAUUCAACAUCCAUCAUUCAUAAAAACUCUGACUAAAGUGGGUAUAGAGGAAAUGUAUCUCAACAUAAUAAAAGCUACAUAUGACAAACUCAUAGCCAACACAAUAAUCAACAGGGCGAAUAUGAAAGCCUUCCCACUAAAUGCAGGAACAAGACAAGGAUGACCACUCUCACCUUUUCUAUUUGACAUAUUAUUGGAAAUGCUAGCCGCAGCAAUCAGACAAGAAAAAGAACAGGCAUACAAUUUAGAAUGGGAGAGGUAAAAUUGUCAUUACAUGCAGAUGACAUACUGUAUUACAGAGAAAACCCUAAAGAUUCUACACAGAAGUUAUUAACACUGGCAAAUGAAUCACCAAGGUAGUAUGAUACAAGAUUAAUAUACAGAAACAUGCUGUAUUUGUCUACACUAACAAGGAAAUACCAGAAAGUUAAAAAAAAAAUCACAUAAAAACAAAACUAAAUAAAUAAAUAAAUAAAUCCAGGAAUAAAUCUAACCAAGUAGGUAAAGGGCUUACAUGGUGAGAACUAUAAGGCAAAGAUAAAGGAAAUCAAAGACAAUUCAAAGAAAUGGAAAGAUAUCCCAUGCUCGUGGAUUGGAAGAAUUAAUACUGUUCAAAUGGCCAUACAACCCAAAGCAUCCUACAGAUUUAAUGAGAUUCUGAUCCAAUUACCCAUGACAUUUUUCACAGAACUAGAACAAUAUUCCUAAAAUUUAUAUGGAAUAAUAAAAGGCCUAGAAUUGUCAAAACAGUCCAGAAGAAAAAGAACAAAGCUGGAAACAUAAUUCUCCCGCACGUCAGACAAUACUCUAAAGCUACAGUAAUCAAAACAGUGUGGUACUGGCCCCGAAAGAGAAAUAUAUAUCAAUGGAACAGAACUGAAAGUUCAGAAAUAAACCCAUACGCCUAUGGUCAAUUCAUCUUUGACAAAGGUGGCAAGAAUAUACAAUGGAGAAAAGACAGUCUCUUUAGCUGGUGGAGUUGGCAAAGCUGAACAGUUGCAUGUAAAUCAACAGAGUUAGAAGACUCCCUCAUACCACACACACACAAAAAUUAAACUCCAAACAGCUUCAAGACUUAAAUAUAAGAAGUGAUGAUAUAAAACUCCUAAAAGUAAAUAUAAGCAAAACAUUCUCUGACAUAAAUCAUGGCAGUAUUUUCUUAGAUCAGUCACCUAAGGCAAAAGAAAUAAAAGCAAAAAAUAAACAAAUGGAACCCAAUCAAACCUAUAAGCUUUUGCACAGCAGAGGAAAUCAUCCACAAAAUGAAAAGAUGACCUACGUACUAGGGAAAAUACUUGCAAACAGUGUAACUGACGAGGGCUUAAUUUCCAAAAUACAGCAAGAGCUCAUACAGCUCAGUCAAAAAGACAAAGACCCCAGUCAAAAAAUGAGCAGAGGACCUAAAUAGACAUUCCCCCAAAGAAGACAUACUAAUGGCCAACAGGCACAUGAAAAGAUGCUUCAUAUCUCUAGGGAAAUGCAAAUCAAAACAAUGAGGUAUCACUCACACUGAUCACAACAGCCACCCUCAAAAAGUCUCCAAGUAGAAAAUGAUGGAGAGGGUGUGGAGAAAGGGGAACCCUUCUACACUGUUGGUGGGAAUGUAAAUUGAUGCAGCGACUUUGGAAAAAAGUGUGGAAAUUCCUUAAAAAACUAAAAAUAAAGUUAGCAUAUGAUCCAGCAAUCCCACUUCUGGACAUACAUCUGGAAAAGAUGAAAACUCUAAUGCAAAAAGAUCUAUGCACCUCAAUGUUCACAGCAAAUUAUUUCGGUUUUUUUCUGUUUUGACCACAGCCAUGGUACAUAGAGGUUUCUGGGCCAGGGAUCAAAUCUGAGCUGCAACUUACACCACAGCUGCAGCAAUGCCAGAUCCUUAACCCACUAUGCAGGACUGGGGAUCAAACUUGUGCCAUCACAGAGAUAAUAUCUGAUACUUAACCUGAUGUGCCAUAGUGGGAACUCCCCACAGCAACACUAUUAUAAUAGCCAAGACAUAGAAGCAACCUAAGUGUUCACUGCCAGAUGAAUGGAUACAGAAGAUAUGGUAUAUAUACACAGUGUAAUAUCAGCCAUAAAAAAAGAAUGAAAUGAUGCCAUUUACAGCAAUAGGGAUGGACCUAGAAAAAUCAGAGUGAAGUCAGAGAAAGUCCAAAUAUUAUAUAUCACAUGUGUAAUCUAAAAAUGAUACAAAUGAACUUAUUUACAAAACAGCCUCACACUUCAAAAACAAACAAGUUACAAAAAGGUAAAAAAGGGAAAGGAGGAUAAAUUAGGAGUACGAGAUACUAUAUAAAUUAUAUAAAUGACAAAGAUUUACUAUAUAGAACAAGGAGGUAUGUUCAAUACCUUAUAAUAAUCUAUAAUGGAGGCAUAUGCAGUAUCUUAUAAUAACCUAUAACGGAAAAUAACCUGAAAAAGUAUAUACACGCAUAUAAAAACAAUCUCUUUGCCGUACACCUAAAACCAACACAAUACUGUAAAUCAAGUAUAAUUCAAUAGAGAGAGUUCCGGCUGUGAUGCAGCAGGUUAAGGAUCUGGUGUUGCCCCAGCUGUGGCUCAGAUUCGAUUCCUGGCCCAGGAACUUCCAUAUGCUGCAAGGUUGGGGGGGGGGGGGGGGGGGAAAGAUAUAUAUAUAUAUUUCAAGAGAAAAUAAUUGGUAGCAUGAACUUAAAAAAAAAGACAUUGAGGAAAUAAAUAUCCACAUGCAAAGAAUGUAGCUGGACUAUUAUCUUACACUGUAUACAAAAAUUAAUUGAAAAUGGAUCAAAGACCUAAAUAGACCAGAAUGUAUAAUGUAAACUUAGGGAAAAACAUGUUGACACCGAAUUCAGCAAUGACUUAUCAGAGAGAACACCAAAAGCACAGACGACAAAGUAAAAACAGCUAAAUUGUUGACUACAUCAAAAUUCUAAACUAUUGUGCAUCAAAGCACACUCAAUCAAGUGAAGACUCUAUGAAAUGGGAGAAAAUGUUUGUAAAUGAUACAUCCGAUGAUAGGUAAGUAUCAAGAGUACAUAAAAAAACUCUAAAAGCCUCUGAUCACCAAAUUCCACCAUGUGGGGCCAUUCCCCAAUUCUUACAUAUUGAAAAUAUAAAAGAACACUAUCAUCAAAAUAGAUGAUUUAUUUGUUAUUAAAUAAACGAAAAUUAAGACCGUUCGGAGUUUCCCAUUGUGGCUCAGUGGUUAACGAAUCUGACUAGGAACCAUGAGGUUGCCGGUUCGAUCCCUGGCCUUACACGGUGGGUUAAGGAUCUGGUGUUGCCGUGAGCUGUGGUGUAGACCUGCGGCUACAGCUCCGAUUCGACCCCUAGCC